UGUGACCGAGUCUCAGGAUUGCUCCAGCUUUGUUGGGCUGUUGGUUCUACCCAUUAAAAACCCUAUCCUGAUGCUGCUUAACUUGGAGAUAAUCAGAGCCCAAGAUGGUUUGGAAGGGCAGGUGCAUGACAUCUGACC